rnacentral:rRNA from 1 species
CCUACGGGGGGCAGCAGUGGGGAAUAUUGGACAAUGGAGGGAAGCCUGAACCAGCGACGCCGCGUGAGGGAAGAAGGAUUUAGGAAUGGAAAGCUCUAUUAGCAGGGAAGAAAAUGACGGUACGUGACUAAGAAGCCCAGGCUAACUACAUGCCAGCAGCCGCGGUAAUACGCAGGGGGCAAGCGUGAUCCGGAGUUUCUGGGUGUAAAGGGAGCGGAGAGGGCUGUGCAAGUGUGGAGUGAAAGGCGGGGGUUCAACCCCCGGACUGCCCGGGAAACUGUAAAGCUGGAGUGUAGUAGCGGUAGGCGGAAUUCAUGGUGUAGCGGUGAAAUGCUUAGAUAUUAGGCAGAACACCAGUGGCGAAGGCGGCUUAC